AUUGAACGCUGGCGGCAUGCCUUACACAUGCAAGUCGAACGGUAACGCGGGGCAACCUGGCGACGAGUGGCGAACGGGUGAGUAAAGCAUCGGAACGUGCCCAGUAGUGGGGGAUAGCCCGGCGAAAGCCGGAUUAAUACCGCAUACGACCUGAGGGUGAAAGCGGGGGACCGCAAGGCCUCGCGCUAUUGGAGCGGCCGAUGUCAGAUUAGGUAGUUGGUGGGGUAAAGGCCUACCAAGCCUGCGAUCUGUAGCUGGUCUGAGAGGACGACCAGCCACACUGGGACUGAGACACGGCCCAGACUCCUACGGGAGGCAGCAGUGGGGAAUUUUGGACGAUGGGCGCAAGCCUGAUCCAGCCAUGCCGCGUGCGGGAAGAAGGCCCUCGGGUUGUAAAGCUCUGUCGGGAGGGACGAAAAAGCGCGGGUAACGCCGUGACUUGACGGUACCUCCAAAGGAAGCACCGGCUAACUCUGUGCCAGCCGCCGCUGUAA
rnacentral:rRNA from 1 species